GUUCUGAACCGAGCGAGAAAUCGCACUUUCCUUAUAUUAGCAGCUGCAGAAAGAAGCAGACGAGGAUCCAUUUGGAUUCUAUAUCUGUUUCUGUCUCAAACUGGGAUUUCGUACAACUUCUUUUGUAGUUUAUUUCUACAAUUGUCAAGUUCACACUGAAAGUAAGGUGGAAGAAAGGAUGUGGACGGAGGUACAGUAAAAGGAAUGAAAGGGGUUGCAGCUAGGGGCCGAAGGGAUGCUGCAAAGAACCUCAAGCAAAUGCCUACAGUGCACCACGUGGAAGUGCACCGAUGGCACUACAGCCUUACGGGGUUUGAAGGAAUGUUGGUGUCCAUUAGUAUAGUAGAUUCACAUCAACCGUGCAUUUGAUGUCUAGGCCAGUCCCUUACGA